UGUUGGUGGAUUGAUCGUCUACACGAGGAUUAAACAGAAGACAAAAAUAGACAAGAGAAGUACGGACAAGAGUAAACAAGAUACUUACAUGGACUUCACGGCAGAUAGGCCAACUGCUGGCAAUGAAAACCAGACUUACCAAGAUCUACAAUAUAGAGAAGAAGAAACAGCUUAUGUUAAUGUGAAGUCGGGAAAGAGAUAAAAAUGCAAAGAGGAGCAGUAUCUGAUUGGAGUUAAUGCGUGUUGCUUGAACAAGGAUCAUGAUAAUCCAUGCAAAAUUUAAUCAAUAAUGAUCGUACAGCAACGAAUCAAAGAAUUGUUUAGCUCUGUCCACGUUAUCAAUUUUGUGAUUUUUCAAUGAAGCCUCCGUGGACUAAUGGUUAUGACGCUCGCCUUGACAGCGAGAGGU